AAGAAAGUGUACAUGUUAUUUUUGAUGAAACUAACACUCUUUCUGAGAGACAGGAACAUGAAGAUGAAAAGCCAUUGGACUGGUGAGACAACUGACUGAAGCUACAGUACAAGUCAAUGAGGCAUCCAAGGAAGAAACAGGUGAUGGAACAGGUCCUUUUACCCUGGGAAACCUGAAAGACGUGGUGACGGGUUAAUUUUGAGCUAGUUCGAGGUAAAUGUCUUGCCUAACCUUGUGUGGGAGACUUUUCCCUUGGGAUGUGACAUAUUUGAUAAUUGAAAUGCCUUGUAUGUGAGCCGACGAGUGCACACUUGAGCUAAUUGUUGAAAAUUGGAUUUUACUUUUUGUAUUUUAGUUGAGUUCUGUUUUACUGCUCAGGGGGAACAAAUCUGAGAAAAAUAUGCACAAAAUUCUCUAAAGGAACCUGUACCUGAACUUUUGCCUCUAUAACAUAAUAAUGAAGGAGAAGCUAGCAGAAACCAGCUCGUGGGAAAAUCUUAUAGGUACCUGAGUUCUCACCCCAUUGAGAACAUAAUCAAUGAUCCCACAAUAAUUAAGGAGAAGCUAGCAGAAACCAGCUGGUGGGAAAAUCUUACAGGUACCUCAGAUCUCACCCCAUUGAGGACAGAAUCAAUGAUCCCACAUCUGGAGUCAAGACUAGAUCACAACUGAAGAAUCUGUGUGCAUUUGAUGCCUUUUUAUCCCUGAUUGAACCUAAGAAUGUGAGUGAGGCUCUACAAGAUGCAGACUGGAUAAAUGCUAUGCAAGAAGAACUCAAUCAGUUUGAAAGAAGCAAAGUCUGGCACUUGGUUCAAAGACCUAAGGACAGGUCAGUCAUUGGGACAAAAUUGGUCUUCAGAAACAAGCUGGAUGAAGAUGGAAUAGUUACAAGAAAUAAGGCAAGGUUGGUGGU
rnacentral:lncRNA from 1 species